UGUGUUUCUAGUUCCCAAGUGCACAGCA
rnacentral:piRNA from 1 species